GACGAACGCUGGCGGCGUGCCUAAUACAUGCAAGUUGAGCGCUGAAGGUUGGUACUUGUACCAACUGGAUGAGCAGCGAACGGGUGAGUAACGCGUGGGGAAUCUGCCUUUGAGCGGGGGACAACAUUUGGAAACGAAUGCUAAUACCGCAUAAAAACUUUAAACACAAGUUUUAAGUUUGAAAGAUGCAAUUGCAUCACUCAAAGAUGAUCCCGCGUUGUAUUAGCUAGUUGGUGAGGUAAAGGCUCACCAAGGCGAUGAUACAUAGCCGACCUGAGAGGGUGAUCGGCCACAUUGGGACGGAGACACGGCCCAAACUACUACGGGAGGCAGCAGUAGGGAAUCUUCGGCAAUGGACGAAAGUCUGACCGAGCAACGCCGCGUGAGUGAAGAAGGGUUUCGGAUCGUAAAACUCUGUUGGUAGAGAAGAACGUUGGUGAGAGUGGAAAGCUCAUCAAGUGACGGUAACUACCCAGAAAGGGACGGCUAACUACGUG
rnacentral:rRNA from 1 species